GGCCCAAUUUCUUCUUCUGGAAUUGAUUGAAGUUAAUCCGGUUAGGAGCAAAGCUCCAAUUUCUCCUCCUCGCCGUUCUUGCUCCAUUCAUUUAGCACUUACUAAGAUGAAGGUUUAUGAACCCAUACCUGAAUCAGAAAAUCCAAACAUCGCGACACCAUCUACGCAGAUUUGAGAAGAUGGGUUGAGUAGAGGCAGUCUUACCAAGAGCUGCUACAAAACAAGAGGCAAGAAAAAGGGUUCCUCCAAUCGAGAACUUUCAAGUGACAGGCUUUGAUUCUGGGAAGAAGGAGAUCCGAGCGCGCCAUCACGAAAUGGUAAAUGAGCGUUUCUGACCACUGAGCUCACUAAACAUCCACACACUUCUUCUCUUAUAACAAGAGACAGAUUCUCCGAAAGCCAAAUAAAAGAGCUAAGGUGACAGAAUAGGCUCAGCGGAACUAUGAAGUAAGAACCUAUGC
rnacentral:lncRNA from 1 species